rnacentral:rRNA from 1 species
UGCCAGCCGCCGCGGUAAUACAGAGGGUGCAAGCGUUAAUCGGAAUCAUUGGGCGUAAAGCGUCCGUAGGUGGUCGACAUAGUCGGGUGUGAAAGGCAUGGGCUCAACCUGUGUUUGUCAUCCGAUACUGGUCGACUAGAGUAGGAUAGAGGGAAGUGGAAUUUCCGGUGUAGCGGUGAAAUGCGUAGAUAUCGGAAGGAACACCAGUGGCGAAGGCGACUUCCUGGAUCCAAACUGACACUGAGGGACGAAAGCGUGGGGAGCAAACAGGAUUAGAUA